GUUUCAAAUUCGAGCAUAAGGGGUCAACUUUACCUACCUAUUUACCUACCAAGUAUUAUAGAUUAUAAAGAUAGUAGAUAUAAAUGGACAUAUAUUUUUAUUUUAUUUUUUAAAUAUUUUUGCAUAUAUACUCUUAUAAAGUGUCCAUUACAUAUUCACCUUUCAAAGUUUCAAAUUACAUCUUUACCCUUAGAUUGAGAUUUUUUGUACCUUUGUUGUGUGUGUCUCUAUCUCUCAUAGAUGGUGUUGUUCAACAUCAUUAAAAUAUUAUUAAAUAUAUGAAAUGACAUGUUUAUCCUUGUUUAACUGGCUCUAAAAAUUAAAAUUAAAGUGCUAAGAGCUACUGAAUUGAACCCUUAACUAUUAAGUGAAAAUGAAACCAAUUAUCCACC
rnacentral:lncRNA from 1 species